CGACGGCGGCUUCUCCAUGCUGAUGGGUGAUUUCCUGACCCUCGCGCAGCUCGGAUUGCCGGUGAAGGUUGUAGUCUUCAACAACAGCGCGCUCGGCUUUAUUGAACUGGAGCAGAAGUCGACCGGUUUCCUGAAUUUCGGAACCGAUUUCAAGAAUCCGAAUUUCGCCGUCAUGGCUGAAGCGGUCGGCAUACGCGGCAUUCGCCUCGAAGAUCCAUCGGAGGUCGAGCAGGGUAUCGCCGAAGCGCUCGCAUAUGAUGGGCCUGUU
rnacentral:misc_RNA from 1 species